AAGUCAUAACAAGGUUUCCGUAGGUGAACCUGCGGAAGGAUCAUUAAUAGUGCCCUUUGAUGCAAAUCAUUGGGUUAGAUCUGCUCUCUUCGCAAGAAGAGGGUUUCCAUACACACCGUGAACUGUGGCUUCGGCCAUCACAAACUGUUAGUAAUGAAUGUAAUAUCAUAACAAAAACAAAACUUUUAACAACGGAUCUCUUGGCUCUC
rnacentral:misc_RNA from 1 species